UACGUAGGUCCCGAGCGUUGUCCGGAUUUAUUGGGCGUAAAGCGAGCGCAGGUGGUUUAUUAAGUCUGGUGUAAAAGGCAGUGGCUCAACCAUUGUAUGCAUUGGAAACUGGUAGACUUGAGAGCAGGAGAGGAGAGUGGAAUUCCAUGUGUAGCGGUGAAAUGCGUAGAUAUAUGGAGGAACACCGGUGGCGAAAGCGGCUCUCUGGUCUGUAACUGACGCUGAGGUUCGAAAGCGUGGGUAGCAAACAGG
rnacentral:rRNA from 1 species